rnacentral:other from 1 species
CGCUCCCUGGUGUGUUGGCCAGUCGGUGAUGUCCCUGAGCCGAUAACUGCAACAACGGAGGUUGCCAGUUGGACCGGUGUGCAUGUCCGCACGACGGAAAGCCUUAAGGUCUACUGCAACCGCCACCUUGAACUUUCGGGUUCAAG